rnacentral:rRNA from 1 species
UACGAAGGGGGCUAGCGUUGCUCGGAAUCACUGGGCGUAAAGGGUGCGUAGGCGGGUCUUUAAGUCAGGGGUGAAAUCCUGGAGCUCAACUCCAGAACUGCCUUUGAUACUGAAGAUCUUGAGUCCGGGAGAGGUGAGUGGAACUGCGAGUGUAGAGGUGAAAUUCGUAGAUAUUAGGAAGAACACCGGUGGCGAAGGCGGCCCACUGGUCCGGUACUGACGCUGAGGUGCGAAAGCGUGGGGAGCAAACAGG